rnacentral:sRNA from 1 species
UGACUGGUGACAGAGUGAGAGAGGGGGUGACUAGUGAGGGAGGGAGUGGGUGACUAGUGACAGAGUGAGGAAGGGGGUGACACAGUGAUAGUCACCCCAUUCCUCCCUCUGUCACUAAUCACCACCUCCCUCACUCUCACUAGUCACCCCUUCCCUCCCUCUCUCUGUCACUAGUCAUACCCUCCCUCUCUCUGUCACUAGUCA